AAAAAAAACACCUGUCUGUAGCCACCAUACAAAUGGGAUGAUGUUGUAAAAGCAGUAAGAUCACAGGAACAACCUGGAACACGUUGGAUUCCGUACAAAGUACGCGUUUUAUUAGGCAAAGGAAGAGGUGUCACAUUCAAGAUGAUGCGGAUAGUGAAGAUGAGACGUCGGGAGCAUCUACUUUACCUAGACCUCCAGAAAUGGCCACUGCAAAGAAGCUGUCACCCUCAAUCCUACAAUGGCGGGCGGAUGGACAGACAAACGGACAAAGAAACCCCAACGAUUACUUUACCUCUGCUGGCGGAG